AGCGAAGCGGGAAGAGCUCAAAUUUAUAAUCUGGCACUUUCAGUGUCCGAGUUGUAAUCUCUAGAAGUGUUUUCCGCGUUGGACCGCACACAAGUCUGUUGGAAUACAGCGGCACAGUGGUGACACCCCCGUACACGGUGCGGACGCCCAGCGCUUUGUGAUACACUUUCGAAGAGUCGAGUUGUUUGGGAAUGCAGCUCAAAUUGGGUGGUAAAUUCCAUCUAAAGCUAAAUAUUGGCGAGAGACCGAUAGCGAACAAGUACCGUGAGGGAAAGAUGAAAAGCACUUUGGAAAGAGAGUUAACAGUACGUGAAAUUGUUGGAAGGGAAACGCUUGAAGUCAGACUUGCUUGCCGGAGCUUGCUUCGGUUUGCAGGCCAGCAUCAGUUUUCCGGGGUGGAUAAUGGCGGUUAGAAGGUAGCAGCUUCAGCUGUGUUAUAGCUUUCCGCUGGAUACAUCCUGGGGGACUGAGGAACGCAGCGUGCUUUUAGCGGGGGUUUCGACCUCUUCACGCUUAGGAUGCUGGUGUAAUGGCUUUAAACGACCCGUCUUGAA
rnacentral:rRNA from 1 species